rnacentral:tRNA from 27 species
GGAAAGGUGUCCGAGUGGUUUAAGGAGCUAGUCUUGAAAACUAGUGAUGCGGCAACGCACCGUGGGUUCGAAUCCCACCCUUUCCGCCA